rnacentral:rRNA from 1 species
CCUGGCUCAGGAUGAACGCUAGCUACAGGCUUAACACAUGCAAGUCGAGGGGCAGCAUGGUCUUAGCUUGCUAAGACCGAUGGCGACCGGCGCACGGGUGAGUAACGCGUAUCCAACCUGCCUUACACUCUUGGACAGCCUUCUGAAAGGGAGAUUAAUACAAGAUGUUAUCAUGAGUAAGCAUUUUCGCAUGAUUAAAGGUUUACCGGUGUAAGAUGGGGAUGCGUUCCAUUAGAUAGUAGGCGGGGUAACGGCCCACCUAGUCUUCGAUGGAUAGGGGUUCUGAGAGGAAGGUCCCCCACAUUGGAACUGAGACACGGUCCAAACUCCUACGGGAGGCAGCAGUGAGGAAUAUUGGUCAAUGGACGAGAGUCUGAACCAGCCAAGUAGCGUGAAGGAUGAAGGUUCUAUGGAUUGUAAACUUCUUUUAUACGGGAAUAAACGGAUCCACGUGUGGAUUUUUGCAUGUACCGUAUGAAUAAGGAUCGGCUAACUCCGUGCCAGCAGCCGCGGUAAUACGGAGGAUCCGAGCGUUAUCCGGAUUUAUUGGGUUUAAAGGGAGCGUAGAUGGGUUGUUAAGUCAGUUGUGAAAGUUUGCGGCUCAACCGUAAAAUUGCAAUUGAUACUGGCAGUCUUGAGUACAGUUGAGGUAGGCGGAAUUCGUGGUGUAGCGGUGAAAUGCUUAGAUAUCACGAAGAACUCCGAUUGCGAAGGCAGCUUACUAACCUGUAACUGACAUUGAUGCUCGAAAGUGUGGGUAUCAAACAGGAUUAGAUACCCUGGUAGUCCACACGGUAAACGAUGAAUACUCGCUGUAGGCGAUAUACAGUCUGCGGCCAAGCGAAAGCAUUAAGUAUUCCACCUGGGGAGUACGCCGGCAACGGUGAAACUCAAAGGAAUUGACGGGGGCCCGCACAAGCGGAGGAACAUGUGGUUUAAUUCGAUGAUACGCGAGGAACCUUACCCGGGCUUAAAUUGCAACCGAAUAUGGCGGAAACGCUAUAGCUAGCAAUAGCGGUUGUGAAGGUGCUGCAUGGUUGUCGUCAGCUCGUGCCGUGAGGUGUCGGCUUAAGUGCCAUAACGAGCGCAACCCUUGCCGAUAGUUACUAACAGGUCAUGCUGAGGACUCUGUCGGGACUGCCAUCGUAAGAUGUGAGGAAGGUGGGGAUGACGUCAAAUCAGCACGGCCCUUACGUCCGGGGCUACACACGUGUUACAAUGGGGGGUACAGAGGGCUGCUACCACGCAAGUGGAUGCCAAUCCCAAAAACCUCUCUCAGUUCGGAUUGAAGUCUGCAACCCGACUUCAUGAAGCUGGAUUCGCUAGUAAUCGCGCAUCAGCCACGGCGCGGUGAAUACGUUCCCGGGCCUUGUACACACCGCC